rnacentral:rRNA from 1 species
AAACUUAAAGGAAUUGACGGGACCGCACAAGCGGUGGAUGAUGUGGUUUAAUUCGAUGCAACGCGAAAAACCUUACCCACCUUUGACAUGGCAGGAAUCCCGAAGAGAUUUGGGAGUGCUCGAAAGAGAACCUGCACACAGGUGCUGCAUGGCUGUCGUCAGCUCGUGUCGUGAGAUGUUGGGUUAAGUCCCGCAACGAGCGCAACCCUUGCCAUUAGUUGCUACGAAAGGGCACUCUAAUGGGACUGCCGGUGACAAACCGGAGGAAGGUGGGGAUGACGUCAAGUCCUCAUGGCCCUUAUAGGUGGGGCUACACACGUCAUACAAUGGAUGGUACAAAGGGUCGCCAACCCGCGAGGGGGAGCCAAUCCCAUAAAGCCAUUCGUAGUCCGGAUCGCAGUCUGCAACUCGACUGCGUGAAGUCGGAAUCGCUAGUAAUCGUGGAUCAGAAUGUCACGGUGAAUACGUUCCCGGGUCUU